rnacentral:misc_RNA from 1 species
UUUCCGUAGGUGAACCUGCGGAAGGAUCAUUCAUAAUAAAGUGUUUUAUGGCACUUUUUAAAAAUCCAUAUCCACCUUGUGUGCAAUGUUAGGUCUCGUCAAUCUUGGCGAGAUUUUUAUACAUCAACUCAUUUUUUAACUAAUUUGUCUGAAAAAUAUUAUGAAUACUUAAUUCAAAAUACAACUUUCAACAACGGAUCUCUUGGCUCUC